CAGCAACGCGCGUGAGGGAUGACGUCUUCAGGUGUAAACUCUUUUAGCUGGGAAGAAGGUCGAGUGACGUACUUGCAGAAAAAAGCGCCGGCUAACUACGUGCCAGCAGCCGCGGUAAUUACGUAUGGGGGCAAAAUCGUAUCAGGAAUUAUUGGGUCGUAAAGAGCUCGUAGGCUGGUUUGUCGCGUACUGCUGUGAAAUCCGGAGGCUCAACCUCCGGCUUGCAGUGGGUACGGGCAGACUAGAGUGCGGUAGGGGAGAUUGGAAUUCCUGGUGUAGCGGUGGAAUGCGCAGAUAUCAGGAGGAACACCGAUGGCGAAGGCAGAUCUCUGGGCCGUAACUGACGCUGAGGAGCGAAAGGGUGGCGAGCAAACAGGCUUAGAUACCCUGGUAGUCCACCCCGUAAACGUUGGGAACUAGUUGUGGGGUCCAUUCCACGGAUUCCGUGACGCAGCUAACGCAUUAAGUUCCCCGCCUGGGGAGUACGGCCGCAAGGCUAAAACUCAAAGGAAUUGACGGGGACCCGCACAAGCGGCGGAGCAUGCGGAUUAAUUCGAUGCAACGCGAAGAACCUUACCAAGGCUUGACAUAUACGAGAACGGGCCAGAAAUGGUCAACUCUUUGGACACUCGUAAACAGGUGGUGCAUGGUUGUCGUCAGCUCGUGUCGUGAGAUGUUGGGUUAAGUCCCGCAACGAGCGCAACCCUCGUUCUAUGUUGCCAGCACGUAAUGGUGGGAACUCAUGGGAUACUGCCGGGGUCAACUCGGAGGAAGGUGGGGAUGACGUCAAAUCAUCAUGCCCCUUAUGUCUUGGGCUUCACGCAUGCUACAAUGGCCGGUACAAAGGGCUGCAAUACCGUGAGGUGGAGCGAAUCCCAAAAAGCCGGUCCCAGUUCGGAUUGAGGUGUGCAACUCGACCUCAUGAAGUCGGAGUCGAUAGUAAUCGCAGAUCAGCAACGCUGCGGUGAAUACGUUCCCGGGUCUUGUACACACCGCCCGUCAAGUCAUGAAAGUCGGUAACACCUGAAGCCGGUGGCCUAACCCUUGUGGAGGGAGCCGUCGAAGGUGGGAUCGGUAAUUAGGACUAAGUCGAAUCAAGGGAC
rnacentral:rRNA from 1 species